AGUGGUUUACUUCUCAUACUCAUACCACCCAGUAAACCGGUACCACGUUCUUUUCUACAAUAUAGAGAGGAAGACUUUUACAAGAGUCAAUAUUGUGAAGAGGUUAAGUGUCGUGGUAGAUACACAUUCCUCGACUAUUUGGAGAAUAUGGAGUUUAUACGGCGGCCCAUCCCUCAUAAAGAUUUGAAAAUGCUCGGCACUCAACUUCCCUCGGUGGAAACGGAUGACAGGUUUUACAUUAGGUUUUUGAACUUCUGAGUGAAUAACCUAACUAUUUGGCUGUUAUCACUUAUAAGUUGCUGUCAUUACGUUUCUACAUCAUACGUUUAUUUUUAUGAAAAUUGCAAAUGUGUGGUCCAUAUAUAUCUCAAUACAUGGCAUGUAUCAUUA